rnacentral:rRNA from 1 species
UGCAACUCGACUCCAUGAAGCUGGAUUCGCUAGUAAUCGCGCAUCAGCCAUGGCGCGGUGAAUACGUUCCCGGGCCCUUGUACACACCGCCCGUCAAGCCAUGGGAGCUGGGGGUGCCUGAAGUUCGUGACCGCAAGGAUCGACCUAGGGCAAAACCGGUGACUGGGGCUAAGUCGUAACAAGGUAAC